GCAUAUCAAUAAGCGGAGGAAAAGAAACUAACAAGGAUUCCCCUAGUAACGGCGAGUGAAGAGGGAAGAGCCCAAGAUUGAAAGCUGGCGUCUUCGGCGUCCGCAUUGUAAUCUCGAGAAGUGUUUUCCGUUUCGGACCAUGCCUAAGUCUCUUGGAAAAGAGCAUCAUAGAGGGUGAUAAUCCCGUACAUGGCAUGGAGCGCCCGAGACUUUGUGAUACGCUUUCUACGAGUCGAGUUGUUUGGGAAUGCAGCUCAAAAUGGGUGGUAAAUGCCAUCUAAGGCUAAAUAUUGGGGAGAGACCGAUAGCGAACAAGUACAGUGAUGGAAAGAUGAAAAGAACUUUGAAAAGAGAGUUAAACAGUACGUGAAAUUGCCAAAAGGGAAGGGUAGGAGGUCAGAGAUGCGUUCUGGGAUUCAGCCUUGCUUUUGCUUGGUGUUUUUCCCAGAUGGCAGGCCAACGUCGGUUUUGGGCGCUGGAGAAGGGUGGAAGGAAUGUGGCACCUCUCGGGGUGUGUUAUAGCCUUCUAUUGGAUACAGUGACCGAGACCGAGGACAGCAGCGUACUCGCAAGAGCGGGCCUUCGGGCACCUUUACGCUUAGGGCGUUGGCAUAAUGGCCCUCUACCACCCGUCUUGAAACACGGACCAAGGAGUCUAACAUGUAUGCGAGUCUUUGGGUGGCAAACCCAUAGGCGCAAUGAAAGUGAAUUCAGGUGGGAUCCGCAAGGUGCACCAUCGACCGAUCCUCACGUCUUUUUAAGUCGUGGAUUUGAGUAAGAGCAUACCUGUUGGGACCCGAAAGAUGGUGAACUAUGCCUGAAUAGGGUGAAGCCAGAGGAAACUCUGGUGGAGGCUCGUAGCGGUUCUGACGUGCAAAUCGAUCGUCAAAUUUGGGUAUAGGGGGCGAAAGACUAAUCGAAGCAUCUAGUAGCUGGGUCUGCGAG
rnacentral:rRNA from 1 species